GAACCUGCCCUUGGGAGGGGAACAACAGCUGGAAACGGUUGCUAAUACCCCAUAGAAUUUAGUACCUCUACGAGGUAGGCUGAGGAGCAAAAGGGAGGAAUCCGCCCAAGGAGGGGCUCACGUCUGAUUAGCUAGUUGGUGAGGCAAUGGCUUACCAAGGCUCCGAUCAGUAGUUGGUCUGAGAGGAUGAUCAGCCACACUGGGACUGAGACACGGCCCAGACUCCUACGGGAGGCAGCAGUGAGGAAUUUUCC
rnacentral:rRNA from 1 species